rnacentral:misc_RNA from 1 species
UUAAGUUCAGCGGGUAGUCUUAUCUGAUUUGAGGUCAAAAGGUUAAAAGUUGUCCUUGGAGGACGAUUAGAAGCAAAACCUCUCAACUAGUUGAGGCUGACACUCUAGUGGCGUAGAUAAUUAUCACACCAAGAAAUGAUCAACAAAAGUUUCACUAAUGCAUUUCAGAGGAGCCGACUUCUGUGAAGCCCGCAAACCCC